GCUUGUGUCCAUUGGGGAGCAGAAGUGAAGCUUUGAAGGGACUUGAAUGGAUUGCAGUUCUUUGGGCAGAGGGGAUGCACACACACAUGCAGCACCUGAGUUCUUCAGCAGCAGCUGGCUCCUCUCUGGAAAAGCUCACCUGACAACUGUGCAUUCUUCCCGUGAUUUUACAGCUGCGGGAGGAGGAAGAAAAGCAUCUUCAGUCCGAGCAUCGUGUUGGUGACUUGAAGACUGCCUUGGAUGAUAAAGAAAGAGAAGCAAGAACUUCUUCCCAGAAACUGCAGGACCUCCCGUUGGCAUCUUCCGAGACCAAUCCGACCGUAAAACAACUGGAAGAAGACGCGCAACACUUUGCAAGUGGAAACAGCAGAUUGGAAGCCACUGUCCAGCAGCCAAGCAACAGCGCUGAAGCCCUUCCGAGAGACCUGCAAGCCUCUGCCUCAGGUGGUGAACUUUCCCAGCAGCUGGACAUGGAGCCUAGAACAGGCAUGCAGCCAGAAGCCCAAAAGCAGGCUUUGCAGGAAGAGCUGUCCACUCUGCUUGGGAAGUGUGAAAAACUGGAGAAGAGCCAAUGCCAGCUGCAAGAAGAGGUGACAAAACUCCAUCAUCAUUUGGAGACUUUGGGGCUGGAUGGCAGCGAAACAGAACAAUGGAAAAGAGAGGUGGAAGAAGGAGCUGACCAGGAA